rnacentral:rRNA from 1 species
AUUGAACGCUGGCGGCAGGCCUAACACAUGCAAGUCGAACGAGUGGCGGACGGGUGAGUAAUGUCUGGGAAACUGCCUGAUGGAGGGGGAUAACUACUGGAAACGGUAGCUAAUACCGCAUACCAUCGGAUGUGCCCAGAUGGGAUUAGUUAGUAGGUGGGGUAAAGGCGCACCUAGGCGACGAUCCCUAGCUGGUCUGAGUGGAUGACCAUCCACACUGGAACGGAGACACGGUCCAGAAUGCUACGGGAGGCAGCAGGGGGGAAUAGGGCACAAUGGGCGAAAGCCUGAUGCAGCCAUGCCGCGUGUAUGAAGAAGGCCUUCGGGUUGUAAAGUACUUUCAGCGGGGAGGCGUUACCCGCAGAAGAAGCACCGGCUAACUCCGUGCCAGCAGCCGCGGUAAUUC